rfam:Nitrospirae bacterium RIFCSPLOW2_12_42_9 rifcsplowo2_12_sub10_scaffold_1961, whole genome shotgun sequence.
CUUUGCUCAGAGCAAACCCGUUGAAAGACGGAGACGCAGAGUAACGGGACUAAUGGUAUUUAGGGGAGUUAUUAUGCCCCCAAAAUACCUAUGUCAGCCGAACCGCCAAA